GACGAACGUUGGCGGCGUGCCUAAUACAUGCCAGUCAACUGAAAUACCGGUAGCAAUACUGGUAUGGAGGUGGCGCACGGGUGAGUAACACGUAGGUAAUCUGCCUUCAGGUCUGACAUAACCCAUCGAAAGGUGAGCUAAUAUCAGAUGAUGCAGCGGCUUGACAUCAAGACAGUUGUUAAAGCUUCGGCGCCUGAAGAUGAGCCUGCGUCUGAUUAGCUAGUUGGCGGGUAACGCCACCAAGGCUGCGAUCAGUGCUGGUCUAGAGAGGAUGAUCAGUCACACUGGAACUGAGACACGGU
rnacentral:rRNA from 1 species